UACGUAGGGGGCAAGCGUUGUCCGGAAUCAUUGGGCGUAAAGAGCGUGUAGGCGGCCAGAAAAGUCCGCUGUGAAAACUCGAGGCUCAACUUCGAGCUGUCGGUGGAAACUUUCUGGCUAGAGUCCGGAAGAGGAGAGUGGAAUUCCUGGUGUAGCGGUGAAAUGCGUAGAUAUCGGAAGGAACAUCAGUGGCGAAAGCGACUUCCUGGUCCAGCAUCGACGUUCAGGCACGAAAGCGUGGGGAGCAAACAGG
rnacentral:rRNA from 1 species